UGAAGUUACUCACAGGACUGUCACUGAGGUACGCUUAGGUUGGUGCAUUGAGAUACAUUGCUAUUUCUAGGACUCUACAGCUAGUAAUUGUAUUAAAGAGUGGCAAAGUGCAGAUCUUUUCAAUGGCAUGAUCGCUGUCGCGUACUCCAGCUAUCUUCCUUGUUUUGUUCCAGAAAGAGGACUUACAGCACACCUUAGCCAUUUCAGUUAAUCAACAGAUGGCUGUUUUUGGAAUUUUUUCCUCAGGUGAGGUUUAUAAAAACUUUCAUUUUUCCCUUUCUGAACAAAUCCUACCACUCUGUUACUGUAGAUUUUAGGAUCUUAUCUAUCUGUCACUCCCUACCACUCUCUUCGGUGGAACCAGGAGGGCAAUUAUCUGUCACUCUCUUGCUUCGUACAAAAUCGAGGUCACAAAUCCAGGCCAUUGUUUUUUCCAUUGUAUAGGUAUAGGCAUAUUUUUUAAUAUACGAUGUACAGUAAGUUUAUCACAAUGUACAAUCAGUAUAAGGAGCAAGACAACGUAUAGCCUAUAUAUCGAAGAACUAGAACCUAACUCGAUUCCUUCAGUAUUAUAUACUGUAGAUGUUAUAGGCUGCAUGAUACCUAUGAUGCCCCUAUAAAAACGUUAAGUCGUCACGAAAAUAUUUCGUGCACUUGAAUUGGAUAAGAUUCACUAACAAUCCCCGUUGACUCGAUAUCUCAAUGGGCAGAGCGACGGUGUAGCUAUAGAUAACGAUUUUUUUUUACUCUGCGGCGGUGUCAAAAUAAUACGAAACUAGUUUUUCAUAUCUCGCAGGAUGAGUUCUGAAACGAAAGUUAUAUAUACACAUUUAGUUGUUUUCAAAUUUUUUUUAUAUUUAUAGAUUUACAAUGUUUUAGCACUGAGACCGUGCAUGAAUUCCGAAGCGAGUGAACUGGCAAGGUAUUUCAAAACCUUACUUCCAAGUA